AUUUGGAUCUUCAUAGAUGGUUUUGCUUUAAAGUUGAAAUUUUCUGAUGACAAAUAUUUUACGAAGUGAAGAUGGGAGAUAAGGUGAAAGGUAAGAUGGUGGCCUAGGUAAACAGGGCUUGCCUCCUCACAUCACCACAUCAAAAUUACAACUAAACUACAGAACAACCAGUGCUCAGAAUUGCCAGAAAUUGAGCUUAAUGGAAGUCCUACAUCUACAGAAUUAAA